rnacentral:rRNA from 1 species
AGCGAACGCUGGCGGCAGGCCUAACACAUGCAAGUCGAACGGACCCUUCGGGGUUAGUGGCGGACGGGUGAGUAACACGUGGGAACGCGCCUUUAGGUUCAGAAUAGCUCCUGGAAACGGGUGGUAAUGCCGAAUGUGCCCUUCGGGGGAAAGAUUUAUCGCCUUUAGAGCGGCCCGCGUCUGAUUAGCUAGUUGGUGAGGUAACGGCUCACCAAGGCGACGAUCAGUAGCUGGUCUGAGAGGAUGACCAGCCACACUGGGACUGAGACACGGCCCAGACUCCUACGGGAGGCAGCAGUGGGGAAUCUUGCGCAAUGGGCGAAAGCCUGACGCAGCCAUGCCGCGUGAAUGAUGAAGGUCUUAGGAUUGUAAAAUUCUUUCACCGGGGACGAUAAUGACGGUACCCGGAGAAGAAGCCCCGGCUAACUUCGUGCCGGCAGCCGCCGUAA